rnacentral:rRNA from 1 species
AAAGGUAAGCUACUAAGAGCGAAUGGUGGAUGCCUUGACUGGUAAAGGCGAUGAAGGACGUACUAGACUGCGAUAAGCUACGGGGAGCUGUCAAGAAGCUUUGAUCCGUAGAUUUCCGAAUGGGGCAACCCAAUGUAUAGAGAUAUACAUUACCUAUAUAGGAGCGAACGAGGGGAAUUGAAACAUCUUAGUACCCUCAGGAAAAGAAAUCAAUAGAGAUUGCGUCAGUAGCGGCGAGCGAAAGCGCAAGAGGGCAAACCCAGUGCUUGCACUGGGGGUUGUAGGACUGCAAUGUGCAAGAGGUAAGUUUAGCAGAACAUUCUGGAAAGUAUAACCAUAGAGGGUGAUAGUCCCGUAUGCGAAAAACAAACCUUAGCUAGCAGUAUCCUGAGUAGGGCGGGACACGAGGAAUCCUGUCUGAAUCCGGGUCGACCACGAUCCAACCCUAAAUACUAAUACCAGAUCGAUAGUGCACAAGUACCGUGAGGGAAAGGUGAAAAGAACUGAGGUGAUCAGAGUGAAAUAGAACCUGAAACCAUUUGCUUACAAUCAUUCAGAGCCCUAUGUAGCAAUAC